CUUCACACACUGAGGUUAAUUAUGGAGUUCCACAGGGUUCAAUGCUAGGACCAGUUCUGUUUACAUUAUACAUGCUUACUUUGGGCAGUAUCAUCAAAACACAUAGCUUACAUUUUUACUGCUAUGCAGAUGACACCGAACAUUCCUGUUUGUGGGGGAGUUGAUAUGACCUGAAUCCUUGCAGCUGAUUGGCCCAUGUGUCUGUCAAUCAGGAUCCCAGUGUUUUGAUUGGCUGUGGAGUUUCUGGGCGCAGUGGGGUGGAUCUCCACGCUGAGUCAACCCUACAAGUCAGACGUGGUUGGAGAUUCCACACUCUGACACGCCCACUGCUGCUGCCCACCUGCAGACAGGCCGUCCCACCCACAGUCUUGUCUGUCUCAGAGGUCUUAGACUGCAGCUCAGAGCUGGUGUGUUUUCAGGG